AACGAACGCUGGCGGCAUGCCUAACACAUGCAAGUCGAACGAGACCUUCGGGUCUAGUGGCGCACGGGUGCGUAACGCGUGGGAACCUGCCCUUAGGUUCGGAAUAACUCCCCGAAAGGGGUGCUAAUACCGGAUAAUGUCUUCGGACCAAAGAUUUAUCGCCUUUGGAUGGGCCCGCGUUGGAUUAGCUAGUUGGUAGGGUAAAAGCCUACCAAGGCGACGAUCCAUAGCUGGUCUGAGAGGAUGAUCAGCCACACUGGGAUUGAGACACGGCCCAGACUCCUACGGGAGGCAGCAGUGGGGAAUAUUGGACAAUGGGCGAAAGCCUGAUCCAGCAAUGCCGCGUGAGUGAUGAAGGCCUUAGGGUUGUAAAGCUCUUUUACCCGGGAUGAUAAUGACAGUACCGGGAGAAUAAGCGCCGGCUAACUCCGUG
rnacentral:rRNA from 1 species